CCGAAAUCGUCGUCAGCACUGGCCAUUUCUGGAAGUUCUCAGCCCUCGACUACGAGAUUCGGCAACAUCCGGAGAAGGGAAGUAUCCAGUCUCUGACGGACUUAGACAGCAGACUGGAAAGUCUUUAUGAGCGAAUGAACAAGUUUGAGAAAGAGUUAUUUGACAAUGUGGACUCCAUUCUUAGCAUACUCGGCCAAAAGCCCAAGGUUACAAGAGAAGCGACUGACACAGUUGCAUACCCGGGUGCCAGAGGAGAUCCAACUCGACCAGCGGGGCCAGAACUCUCUAAAUCAUUCAGCGAAACUGAAUGCACCACUAAAAGCUUGAAAGAAUAAUAAAGUCCGGUCCAAGACACUUUAUAAUACUGAACACUUAAUUUAUUAAAUAUUUAUUGACUAUUUUGCAUAACUGAUUUAUUACUUAGAUACGGUAUUGUUACCAAGGGUCCAUUUUUACGUUUUACCCCAUUUUUUAGUAGUUGAAUCUCAUGAGUGAUUGAAUUCCACUUCUUCAGCCUGUACAUAAUUCGCGUUUAGUUAACUUGAAUAUAACUGUAGUUGAAUGCAACUUCAGCACAUUUUUUCUGCAAAACACGGUCAUUUCGACAAGGAUAAGCACUGAACAGUCAAGCAAUAGUGUUCGAGAUAUCUAAUCACUUUAUACGACUAAAUUAUGUUAUACUCCGCAGUAAUGACAGGUUUUGUGGGGUCAGUGUUGUGUAUUCAAGUCAAACUCCGAAGUAUUAAUUCCGUUUUCUUAUAUAGAAUGAAGCGGAGUUUUUCUUUUUUUUAAUUUUGAGAAUGCAAGCGUUGUGAACAGACCUUAGAAAGAUGACCAAGUGAACAUGAAACCACAAUCAAAAUAAAAAAACGUAUUUUUACUUUGACAUUACUUAAAAAUAAUGUGUUUAUUCCACAACUGGUUGUGUGCUUUUCGGGAAGAUAAAGACAUCCAAAGCACUCAUAUAUUUUGCCAACUGCCCCAUAGAAGUAGUGUUACAUAACUGCUGUCGGCAGUCUCAGACUGUAUACUCACACCUGUCAGGUACAACACUUCUGUGGAGGUGACAUAAACUCAGUGUAACGAACAGGUAUGUGAGUCUUUUGAGAAGAAAGUCUUGAGGUAAUCAUAUCACGUUUCAGUUUUUUCUGAUAAUAGACUACUGAACGUAGGUAAAUAUUGUAAGACUGAAAUAUUGAGAUGGGACAACACACUUUAAGAUAAGCUUUAAGCAAUGAGAUAACAUGGCUUGGACAAAACACACUUUGCAAUCAGUCCACAAAUCUCCACAAUGGCGUCAGGUGUAGGAAUCAGUCAAAGGCACUAUUUCUCGCGUGCUCUAGCAUCCGUUUGGAAGUGAUGUGACAAUGUGUGGGAAUAAUCUAGCUAGGGAUGUUGUUUACUAACCUUUUUUAAUUCCUUUGCUUUUUAUGAAAAGCAAUCGUUUUGCGAGUGUGUAAUCACGUGACCAUGACGUCACACAGUAAGCGUUUGUACAAGCAGCGCGUGAAUUUAGUAAUAAUCAUCAACAUCCCUAAACAUCUCGACAACAAUGUCGUCGCCUCUGUCUAUUGACAACGCCAGCGUAGAUAUCUGGUCGCCAUGGCUACCAGGUGUGGUCACCACACUGUCCAGACGUGUUCUGAAGACGUCCUUUUGCUGUCUUGAAAUCCGAUCCAUGAACACAAGGGCCUCUUGUGGGUUCUUGUCCAGUUUGGCGAGUUGUGGGAACAUGCAAGCGAGCGAGGUUCCAGGUUCGCCUCUCAUCGUUGCAAGUUCUGAGUGGGUAUCCCCCACCUCCAGUCAUUACUAACUACACUUUUGCACUGAGCUGACUUCCACCGCCACGUGUACAGAGCACUGUCAUUGUCGAGCUGAAAAUACAGAGUUUGGACCUAAACCAACAACUCAAUGUGCAUCAGAAGGAAAACAAAUCCCUGUAUAUCAUCAUCCUUACAGUGUACACGAUGUGUAUGGUUGUACGUGUGACUUUCGUGGAGGUUUCGGCGUGUAUACUGCUGUUUCAGGACAAAAACAUGUACUGGAAUCCAUUCCCUGUUGUUUUGGUUUGCUGUCGUAAAAAGUAUGUUUUUUGUUCACCUGUACUGUUAAAGUUUAUUACUUGUAUAAAUAACUGCGUUUACUGACAAUCACAAUAAAUAAGCUUGUGUACGUUGAAGAACGUAGUAAAAGUGACAAAUGUUUCUUGUCUUUCUCCAGACCCUACUUCCCACCCUACUGGCUUCAGUUGCCUACAAGUUUUCCUCAUUUUGGGUUUUAUCCAAAGCUGUAGGAAAUGUUGUUAAUCGAGUCUUCUUAUUUUUAGAGGAUUUGUCCAAACCUAUACGUUCAUCAAAAAAUGUAAACUAAAGUCCCAAGAUUAUAAAAAUAUAGUUUUUAACCGUUUUAAGUACAGCUUAGCCUUGGUUGCAACAGAAUAAUUAAGAAAGAUAUUUAAAUCUUGGCUAAGUGAAUAGUUACUGUCCGAAGUUCUACCAAAAUUGAUGUAGUUUAUUUAAGUAAUUAAGCUUCAAAAGUGUCGUUUUCGCAAAUGUUGCUUCCUUACUUCUGUCCCAUUUUUGUAAUAUAUCAAAUAUCCUUCCAUUGAGCCCGUGACAAGCUACAGCACUUUAGUCUGUUUGCCAUUUAGUGUAUCGUUUAAUGUCUGUAUUUACUGUAAAGUUCUGUGCGCCAUUUUAAUUGUAAUUUGUGUGCAAUACUUCGUGAUGUUGUGUCAUUUCACAUUAUUUUGUGAUGAUUUUGAGAACAGUCUGAUUCUGUACCACGUCGCACACAGAUGUCUUCUGCAUUGCUUGCCACUGCUAUUUUGCACAGAGAAAGCUUGUUUAGUCUGCUACUCGAUUUCUGUUCCUGGAUGUAGAAUUACUUGUACAAUUUCAUGCCUUAACCUGAGUGUCUCUAUGAAUCGAUGUUUUGCUGACAUGUAUUUUUUUCUUUUUUUCUUUUUUUUUUUUUUUUGUCCUAAACUGCCGCCAAUUUACAACAGUCAACGAGGGAGAGGAGAUGAUCACCGCCCUCACAAAAAAACAUUUAAGUGUGGACUUCGAUCCUUAGCUCCUCACCCACUUUUAUCUUUUAAUCGUCGAAAGUUCAAGUCUGAAUGCAGACAGAAUUAAGCAGUAUUCUAAAUUAGGCUAUAGUUCAGCAAGAUACAUUAUAAAUCCGUUUUCUCGUUAGUGGACAAAAACUGAAUAAGGAAAAACAAAACUCGUGCUAUCUCGGGUAGCUUCAAUCCUGUACACAACUUACGUCAGCAGAGCAGAAUGUAACCGAAAAAGUAACGUCCAAAAAAUAUUGUAUCUACCUGUCACACCUUGGCUGGUUAGAAGAGUCAUUAAUCAUUCCAUGAGAGCAACUUUUUUUUUUAAACAGAAAUCGAAACGAUUUUAAUUGCUCAACUUCCACGCACAAACGGAGGGUUUGCAAGGGAAACUACCUUCAGUAAUUAAUCCUCGUCCAGAUCGAGUUGUAGCCCUUGAUUGAUAGCACAAAUCUACGUGUUGGAGUAUUUCUCUUCAAAUUUGCCGAAGUGAAUUUCAACAGCCUUAGGUUCUUCCCGUAAAUAUGUUGGUUUUUUAUGUGGGCUUGUUGUUUACUGUAUUUGUGCUGUUAGAAACUUCUGCUCACACUAUCUGGUAGAGGCUACACGUGUAUUACACGUCCGUGGUUAUACACACCACGUGACUGCUAUUCGAAUAGAUCUGUGGCUGGCUGGAAGGUGAGCGCAAGCAAUAUAUGGAAUACUAACGGCAGCUUGUAAUAGUUUCCGCUUUGUCACGAAUGGUAACCAGUACAUUGUUUACAUUGUUUACAUUGUUUACUCUCAAAGUACAUGACAACAUACCUACAGGACGCUUGGUGCCAGCUCUGCCACCUGGCUGCCCAAAGAACCUGUCUCUGACAUUCGCUGCCAACACCUCUUCGUUGAAAUAUUCCGAAGUUUACAUGUACCAUAAUCUUUUGCGAAGCCGCUCCAACCCCUUCAACGAAAUGUGAGAGGCUUGGAUCAAAGGUUUAUAAAGCAAACAGUGAUUUCAUGUGGCCAAAGGUAGGUUCUUUAUCUCCAUGUAGCACGAUUGAGCCCCUGAGGCACAUACCAUGACAUGAUGCGUGUCAUAAUGUAAUAAAGUACAGCAUGUCAUGACAAAUGUUGAUGCAUGUUGUGUUUCGCGCAUCAGUGUUUCACAGAAUGGACCUAACGGUCGCCAUGUCCGACAUUGAAUGUACAUCGAAAUAAAUGUUAAACUGUGAUAAACAACAGGCAAUAAACUUUUCGGAUAUUC